GGGCUAGGCUAGUGCUGGGGAGCGGGAGCCGAGGCUGCGCCCGGAGGGCUGGGGAAACUGCCUGGCCCGGGUGCGGGAGCCGGAGGAAGCCACUGCUGCGCUCGCUCUCUCGGACGCCGGGCGCUGCAUCCUUGGCUAAAACCCACAGACGAGAACACGGAGCGUGCAGCCCUAAGCUAGUGAUGUCAUCCGUGCAACGUGAGCCUCAUCUCUUAUUUUUCUAGCCGCCUUAAAGAUAAACUGCACCAUUUCCCAGGCACGAAAUGUCUAAGCCUUAUUCUUUGACCAGGCAAGUCAAUGGUGUCGAGAUAGGCAUUGACCUCCUGGCCUGAGGAAUCAUUGUCUAUCUGGAUGGUCUCCUAUUCUAUUCCCUGACCUGACAUCUCAUGAGUCUGGAUCCAGAAAGAAAAGUCAUCUGAGGAUGAGGACAUAGAGAGAAGACGGCCCUCUAUAAGCCAGAAAGAGUCUUCCCAGGAAGUCCAAUUGACAACACCUUGAUCUGGUACUUUCAGCCUUCAGAAGUAUGAGAAAAUAAAUUUAUGUUGU